CCCCAUUCCUACGGCCUCCGGUCCCGCCGGCGCGGAGGGGACCCCCGGAGCGAACGAAAAACCGCGGCCGUCGCCCCCCCCUCCGCCUCCUCCCGGCGAUUUCGUUACCGCCCCUCUGUCCCCAUCCGCGCAUCCUCACCCCCCGGGCGGAGCUCUCAUCCCGGCUACGGAGGAAGGGGGGAACGGCGGUGAGAAGGAAGGGGAAGAUUCGUUGGGGCCCUAUCGGCGACCCCCCCCGGGGAGGAGGGUUUUCGUUGCAUCCCGCUCCAAACCGCUGUCACCGGAUCAAUGUGCGGCGGCUCCAAGUACGGAUCCGGAUCCUCCCUCGGCGGCGCGGUUGCCCACUCGCUCUUGUUGCAUCGCGCCCGGGCGGACACGGAGGAAGCGGCCGCCCCGCAGCACCGCUGAACGCCCGCACCGCGCCGCCCGUCCCCGCG
ensembl:lncRNA